GACGAACGCUGGCGGCGUGCUUAACACAUGCAAGUCGAACGGAAAGGCCCUGCUUGCAGGGUCCUCGAGUGGCGAACGGGUGAGUAACACGUGGGUGAUCUGCCCUGCACUUCGGGAUAAGCCUGGGUAACUGGGUCUAAUACCGGACAGGAGCCAUUUUUAGUGUGAUGGUUGGAAAGUUUUUUCGGUGUAGGAUGAGCUCGCGGCCUAUCAGCUUGUUGGUGGUGUAAUGGCCUACCAAGGCGGCGGCGGGUAGCCGGCCUGGGUGGGUGGACGGCCACAGUGGGACUGAGACUCGGCCCCGACUCCGACGGGUGGGAGCAGCGGGGGAGAGUGAAAAAUGGGCGCGAGCCUGAUGCAGCUACGGCGCGGGGGGGAUGGCGGUCUUCGGGUUGGAAACGCAAUGCGCUAGUGACGAAGCUUUUUGUGACGGUACCUAGAGAAGAAGCACCGGCUAACUACGUG
rnacentral:rRNA from 1 species